CUGUCGAAAGGUAUUUUCGCGGAACGUGUUUUACGAUAUCGUUGAUUUGACGUCCACGUGUGGUGGUGUGGUGUGGUGUUUUUUCGAGUAAAGGGAUCGUGGCUACAAAAGUCAGUGAUCCUGUUAGCAAAAGAGCCAUGACUACGUGUAAAGAAUGGGCUCGAUCGCAUCGGUGCUGCAGUGGCAUUGCUCGGAGUGCGCUCUGAUAAAUCCAACGGAGAAAACGCGAUGCACUAGGUGUGGCCUUACUCGGCUUAAGAGUGAUGAGAAAGCGAAUUUCAGGCUCAGCCUGAGCUUGGAACACAAAGUUCCAGGGCAAAAGGGGGAAAAAAAGAAAAAGGACAACGAGGAAGGUAAUACUUCCUCAGUGUCCGCUCCGCCAACACCUUCGCUGAAAGUCCGUCUGGAAAAACCAGCAGCGGACGAGACGCGUCCGGCAGUUAACGAAUACGUCAAAACCGAUCUCGUACAUCGCUCAGAAGGAAAUUUAAUUGUACCUAAUAAUCAUAUAAAAAAAUUACAUCAUGAUUUAUGGAAUGGAAGGUCUUAUAAAAAAGAGCCAAUUAAACGAUCUUCUUCUCUACCUACAGUAGUAACACAAUGGACUUGUGUUCGUUGUUUAUCAGAGAACAGUUGCAGUUCUGCUGUAACUUGUGUAGUUUGUGAUGCUAAUUAUUCAAUAUCUAAAACUGACAAAAAACAGAUUGGUGCACGUAAAAGUAGAAAAUUAAAUUUGCGUAAAACAAAUCGUCUCAAAACUACAUCUGAACUUUUAGCAAAUAUUUUUGAUGGUUUUAAUGCAACAAGUACUUCUAUAAAUAAUGCAAGGGAUAUUAAUAAAGAUAUGGCACAAUUAACGAGUAUAAGUCGUAAUGAAAGGAGACAAAUUGAUAGGGAAGAUUGGACUUUACCACCGAUAGAAACCAUGGAUUCUACUACGCUUUCCUAUACAAAUGCCACCAAUACCUCUCAGCGUUCACCAAAAAGACAUAGUCCUUCAAUUUAUGAACGAGUUAAAUCUAAAGUUAGUCGCUCUUUAUCUAAUGGCUCUGUUGUACAUAAAUUAUCUGAACAUUCUACUCAAAGACCAACAAGUUUAGUAGUCUCAGAUUCACAACAAGAUGAUGCUCUUUGGAGUUGUGACAAUUGUACUCUUGACAAUGCUCCUGGCCUAGAACAAUGCGAGGCAUGUGAAGCACCUAGAAGUCCAGCGCCUUGCAGUGGAGUAGUUAUCAGUGUACCUGCUUGGGAACCCCGUGCUUUAUCUUCUGCAAGUGCACUAUCUUAUAGACGAUCUUUUUCCGACAUUGAAUCUGUUGCAAAUGUAGCUGAGAAAAAAAUCGUCAAUCGUAGGAGUCUGAACGAAGAUGAGCCACCAGCCGUACCACCACAUUCGGUUGGUUUUAAUACAAGACCAAAGUACUCUUACAUUGGAAUUACUGAUCCUAAUAUACCACCACCAUUGCCAAAAAAACAAAAUAGUAAACUAGGUCUUGUACCAACAAAAGCACAUAGCGAGGCUGCUAGUCCUGUUGGAGAUGUACCUAAUAUAAGCUCUCUAAAACGCAUGUGGACAUGUCGAAAAUGUUCUUAUGCAUAUAAUCCUGCAUGGACAGCUGGUUGCGAUAUAUGUGAAUCUUCUCGAUCACCUCCUUCGCUAACUCAACCUAGUUUAAUAACUGUCACAAAAGAUGAAACAAGUUGUUCGUUGCAUACACAGUCUCCAAUUGUUGUAUCUAGAGAUAGUGUAAGAUACAUUCCACAAAAAACUGCUACAUUGGCUACAGCAGAAUCUGAUUUAGAUGACCAGAUUGAUCCUCCUUCUCCAAAUUGGACUUGUAAAAAAUGUACACUCUUAAAUGCUGCUUCAAGAUCAACGUGUGAAGCAUGUGGUGGUUCAAAACUUAAAAGUAUUAUGCAUUUGGAAGAUGCAACUUUACGGAAAGGUGAAAGUUGGGUGUGCCCGUCGUGUACCUUAAGAAAUCCGCUAUCAGCACAAACUUGUAAUGCUUGUAAAACAUUAGCAGAUUUUCUAGAUGUACCAAAAGAUAGCAGAUUUUUUGGAUCAAGAAGUCCAAGUCCAAGGCUUUGUUCAACCCCUAUAAAUUCAAAAGUUGUUACCCCAAGACACAAAAAUUCUGUAAGAAGAAAUGGUUCUUCGAUUGGAGAUAAAAGACAUUCAAGAAUUAAAGAUUCCACUCAUGGUCAAUGGCAGUGUAAAAUGUGUACAUAUGAAAAUAAGACUACAAAUGGAAUCUGUGAAAUGUGCCAAAUCUCAAAAAAUGUAUCUCAGCUGAUAGGUGAAAGGCCUAGAAUUAUUGAAUCUGGCACAAGCACACUCACAAUACAACGACAGGAAAGUGUAGUUAUGGAAAAUUUAAGACAACUUGAAGAAAGAGAAGCAUUGGAGAAAUGGGAACGAAUUGUUCAGUACUGCAAAGAGACGAAUGAACCUUUCGUUGAUGACUCAUUUCCACCAGCUCCAAAAUCUCUGUAUUAUAAUCCAGCAGAAACGAAAGACAACCAUGUUGUUCAAUGGAGAAGGCCUCAUCAAAUUAACGUUGACUCUACUGUCGAUUCCAAACUGCCUUGGGCUGUUUUUAGAACACCCUUACCUUCUGAUAUCUCACAAGGUGUAUUAGGAAAUUGUUGGCUACUUUCAGCUUUAGCUGUUUUAGCUGAAAGUGAUGAACUUGUAAAGAGAGUUUUAGUAAUGAGAGAAACAUGCCCAGAAGGAGCUUAUCAAGUAAGAUUGUGUAAAGAUGGAAAAUGGACCACAGUACUUGUUGAUGACUUGUUACCCUGUGAUAAAAGAGGCCAUCUAGUAUAUUCUCAGGCCAAAAGAAAACAACUUUGGGUUCCAUUAAUUGAAAAAGCAGUAGCUAAAAUUCAUGGUUGCUAUGAAGCUUUAGUAUCUGGACGUGCUAUAGAAGGUUUAGCAACACUUACAGGUGCUCCUUGUGAGAGUGUGCCUUUGCAACCAUCUGCUUUGCCAAGUGAAGAUGAACUUGACAGGGAUUUAAUAUGGGCGCAACUUUUGUCUUCAAGGCAAGCUAUGUUUUUAAUGGGUGCUAGUUGUGGAGGUGGCAAUAUGAAGGUUGAUGAAGAGGAAUAUCAACGUAAAGGUUUAAGACCAAGGCAUGCUUACUCCGUUCUUGAUGUGCGAGACGUGCAGGGAAUAAGACUAUUGAGACUGCGUAAUCCUUGGGGUCAUUAUAGUUGGAAGGGUGAUUGGUCUGAUGAUAGUCCUAUAUGGACACCACAGUUACGAGAAAUGCUUAUGCCACAUGGUGCAUCUGACGGUGUUUUUUGGAUUUCCUUCGACGAUGUGUUAAAAUAUUUUGACUGUAUUGAUAUUUGUAAAACUAGAGUGGGAUGGAGUGAAGUUAGAUUACGUGGAACACUUCCACCUCUAUCUUCUCUUCGACAUUUAUCGUGUGUACUUCUGACAGUAUUGGAACCUACUGAAACAGAAUUUACAUUAUUUCAAGAAGGGCAAAGGAAUUCUGAAAAAUCACAACGAUCUCAGUUGGAUUUGUGUGUAGUUGUUUUUCGUACACGUUCGCCAGCAGCGCCAGAAGUGGGAAGGCUAGUAGAACAUAGUAAACGACAAGUACGUGGAUUUGUUGGAUGUCACAAAAUGCUAGAAAGGAAUUUGUAUAUUGUUGUAUGUUUAGCCUUUAAUCAUUGGCAUACAGGAAUGGAAGAUACUUCCAGUUAUCCUGAAUAUGUUCUUGCCAUUCAUAGCUCAAAAAGACUUUUAGUUGAACAAAUUUCUCCACCAGCGUUUGUCUUGGCUGAUGCUAUUAUAAGUCUAACUCUAGCAAAGGGACAGCGGCAUGAAGGAAGGGAAGGAAUGACUGCUUAUUACUUAACUAAAGGCUGGGCUGGACUUGUAGUAAUGGUAGAAAAUCGUCAUGUAAAUAAAUGGAUUCAUGUAAAAUGUGACUGCCAUGAAAGCUAUAAUGUCGUGUCCACUAGAGGACAACUCAGAACUGCCGAUAGUGUUCCCCCGCUUCACAGACAAGUCAUCAUAGUUUUAACACAAUUGGAAGGUAGUGGAGGUUUUUCAAUAGCACAUCGACUUACGCACAGACUAGCUAACAGUGGAAAUUUACAUGACUGGGGUCCGCCAGAUACUGAACAUUGUCCUCAAAUCGACACUGAAGUUGAGGGUUUACACAGCCCUCGUUUAAUCACGUGAACAAAAUAAGUGAUUCACAACAAAUAGGACAAUGUUUAAACGUAUCGUUUGUCAAGUCUUUCUUUACACCUACUAUACAGAGUGUUAAUAUAAGUCAAGAAUCUUUGUAUUGAAUUUACGCGCCAAAAUGAUGAAAAAGUUUGUAUAAUCUUAUAUGUAAGGUUGUUUAAGUACUUAAAAUAUAAAAUACUCGAUUAUUCAACUAAUAUUUUAAACAACUCGAAAAAUAUAAGUUUAUUGUUUUACUUCGAAUUGUUUAAAUUUUGCAAACCAAUCUAGUUUUGAACAAAAUUCUAUUUUUAGAAUUACUCAAAAUCGAGUUUAUAUCAGUUAUUAUCUUUUUAGUACUUAAACAACUUUACUGGUAUCUGCGAAUUUUUUCUUCACGAGUAUGUAAACUAUAUCCGUAAUUACAGACAAAAUUGAAUGAA
rnacentral:misc_RNA from 1 species